rnacentral:rRNA from 1 species
CGAGCCGCGUGUGCGAUGAAGGCCUUCGGGUUGUAAAGCACUGUCGAGAGGGAACAAGCCGCAAGGUUGAGUGACCUCUGGAGGAAGGACGGGCUAAGUUCGUGCCAGCAGCCGCGGUAAGACGAACCGUCCAAACGUUAUUCGGAAUCACUGGGCUUAAAGGGCGCGUAGGCGGGCGAUCAAGUUAGGGGUGAAAUCCUCCAGCUCAACUGGAGAAGUGCCUUUGAUACUGGUUGUCUAGAGUGAGGUAGGGGCAUGUGGAACUUCCAGUGGAGCGGUGAAAUGCGUAGAUAUUGGAAGGAACACCAGUGGCGAAAGCGAUGUGCUGGAUCUCAACUGACGCUGAGGCGCGAAAGCUAGGGGAUCAAACGGGAUUAGAUACCCCGGUAGUCCUAGCCCUAAACUUUGGGUACUAGAUUGUGGACUAACAUGGGUUCACAGUCGAAGCAAAAGUGUUAAGUACCCCGCCUGGGGAGUAUGGUCGCAAGGCUGAAACUCAAAGGAAUUGACGGGGGCUCACACAAGCGGUGGAGCAUGUGGCUUAAUUCGAGGCUACGCGAAGAAACUUAUCCUGGAUUUGACAUGUUCGAAAGAGUUAGGACGUAGGACCCGGAAACG